GGCUGGUCCGAGAGCGUGGUGUUUACAACUAACGAUCACAACCAGUUACAGAUGCCUUUGUUCCUUCUCCACUCCCACUGCUUCACUUGCCCAGCCUAAA
rnacentral:Y_RNA from 1 species